CAUCGUCCCAUUUCAGCAGGAAGUAACUUGGAAAAUGCUACGCCCCCUUUCCCCAUUGUUGUCACUUAGGAUAGUGUAUAUACCUAGUUAGGAAUAGCUUCCUAUUGUUUAUGACAAGUUUUAAUCCUCUUUUAGACUAAAAGGGGAAUUGUAGGGGAAGCUGUAGCCACGCCUUCUUAGGGGCUGGCUACAAGAGUACCUGAGAGCUAGUGAGGGCGUGGUCAGAGUGAGUAGGGGGACUGCGUUUUCGGUUUCGGUUUCUCUUUGCGUCUUGCUGUACAGACUACCACCGGCUGGCUGGUCCGCUCUGAAAAAAAAUAAAAGAAGAUACCAGAAAAUGGAAAGAUCUCCCAUACUCUUGGAUAGAGAGGGCUUCUCUGUGUAACAAUCUCGGCUGUCUGGGGAACCACUUUGUGAAACAAGCUGACCUCAAACUCAUGGAAAUCUACCUGCCUCUGCCUCUCAAGGACUGAGAUUGAAGGCAUGCACCACCUAGGCCUGGCUAUGUGUUUCUUCUUACAUCUCAAGAUCUUGCAAUAAGCAGUCUGGGCCUUAAAUACUAGCACUCUUCGGAAGAAUCUGUGCUCUCAAGUUAUA
rnacentral:lncRNA from 1 species